GAGGAGGUAGGCAGAGAAAAACAGAGAGGAAGUUAACAGAUACCACACAGAACAACAAGGAGGAAGAGGAAGAAGAGUGACAACACACCACAACUACUAAGACAGCAUGAUGACAAGAUCCAGGUGAAGACGUAGUGGGAGUGUACUGUACCAGGUGAAGAAGAAGUGGGAGUGUACUGUACCAGGUGAAGAAGAAGUGGGAGUGUACUGUGCCAGGUGAAGAAGUAGUGCGAGUGUACUGUGCCAAGUGAAGAAGUAGUACGAGUGUACUGUGCCAGGUGAAGAAGUAGUACGAGUGUAUUGUGCCAGGUGAAGAAGUAGUGCGAGUGUACUGUGCCAGGUGAAGAAGUAGUGCGAGUGUACUGUGCCAGGUGAAGAAGUAGUGCGAGUGUACUGUGCCAGGUGAAGAAGUAGUGCGAGUGUACUGUGCCAGGUGAAGAAGUAGUGCGAGUGUACUGUGCCAGGUGAAGAAGUAGUGCGAGUGUACUGUGCCAGGUGAAGAAGUAGUGCGAGUGUACUGUGCCAGGUGAAGAAGUAGUGCGAGUGUACUGUGCCAGGUGAAGAAGUAGUGCGAGUGUACUGUGCCAGGUGAAGAAGUAGUGCGAGUGUACUGUGCCAGGUGAAGAAGUAGUGCGAGUGUACUGUGCCAGGUGAAGAAGUAGUGCGAGUGUACUGUGCCAGGUGAAGAAGUAGUGCGAGUGUACUGUGCCAGGUGAAGAAGUAGUGCGAGUGUACUGUGCCAGGUGAAGAAGUAGUGCGAGUGUACUGUGCCAGGUGAAGAAGUAGUGCGAGUGUACUGUGCCAGGUGAAGAAGUAGUGCGAGUGUACUGUGCCAGGUGAAGAAGUAGUGCGAGUGUACUGUGCCAGGUGAAGAAGUAGUGCGAGUGUACUGUGCCAGGUGAAGAAGUAGUGCGCGUGUAC